rnacentral:rRNA from 1 species
GAUGAACGCUGGCGGCGUGCCUAAUACAUGCAAGUCGAGCGAACAGACGAGGAGCUUGCUCCUCUGACGUUAGCGGCGGACGGGUGAGUAACACGUGGAUAACCUACCUAUAAGACUGGGAUAACUUCGGGAAACCGGAGCUAAUACCGGAUAAUAUAUUGAACCGCAUGGUUCAAUAGUGAAAGACGGUUUUGCUGUCACUUAUAGAUGGAUCCGCGCCGCAUUAGCUAGUUGGUAAGGUAACGGCUUACCAAGGCAACGAUGCGUAGCCGACCUGAGAGGGUGAACGGCCACACUGGAGCUGAGACACGGUCCAGACUCCUACGGGAGGCAGCAGUAGGGAAUCUUCCGCAAUGGGCGAAAGCCUGACGGAGCAACGCCGCGUGAGUGAUGAAGGUCUUCGGAUCGUAAAACUCUGUUAUUAGGGAAGAACAAAUGUGUAAGUAACUAUGCACGUCUUGACGGUACCUAAUCAGAAAGCCACGGCUAACUACGUG